GCAGCUGUAGUUCAAUUGGCAGAGCAUCGGAUUUCCAAUCCGAGUGUUGCGGGUUCGAUCCCCGUCAGCUGCUCCA
rnacentral:tRNA from 1 species